ACCUACAUUGUGGUUCAAUUGUAUGUCAGUCUGAUGCUCAGACAGUCAGCAGCAAGACAUCAUGGAGGUUACAGCUCUCUGCAUCAGACUGAUGCUGGGUGUAUUGGUCCUGCUGGUUGCACAAGUUCACCACAGUUACUUUGCUCAGAAAGCUGAUGCAGCUUUUCUACGUAUUGUUCCAGACAGACUACAGUUCUUUCUAUAUGAGACUGUCUCUGUUCACUGUGAGGAGAAUGAUGG